AACUUAAAAAAAAACAAUUUUAAUUUUGUUUCCUAUGACCGUACCCCUCAUCUUUCACCCGAUCAAAAUCCCGUCGAAGAAACCUAGGGCUUUUUCUCGUUUCCCACUUCCACUGCCUCCUCUCCUCGACGGAGGAAAACCGCAGCCUCCUCUCCUCGGCUCCCCACUUCCGCCGCCUCUCCUUCUCGCCGACCUUUUCACCGUCGUUUCCCUCCCCUCGUCGGUUCCUCACUUUCGCCGCCUCUCCUUCACUUCCCCUCGUCCGUCAGCCCUUUGUUCGUCGACUUCAAGGCCAUCCCUCUCUAGCAUCCAGUGAUUGGCUUCUUCAGUUGCAGAAAUAGUUCAAAUUGAUUGGUGCGGGCGCUUCGGUUCUCGAUCUUGGAUGCGCUCCCGGUGCUUGGCUUCAGAUUUGUGGGGGUAAAUUUGCAAAUAUGGUUGGUUUCGGGUUAUAUAGGUAAAACCCCCUAAAAGAUAUUUAAAACUGAAACCUUUGCUAAAUUGGUUUUACUUGCUUCUGUUAAAAUGAGGUCCAGUUAAUUUUCUUCCGUAGUGCAUGUUUAGGUGGCUUGUCAGAGUUUAGGGCCACCGAAGAAGGGUGGGGCUGUUAUCGGUGUUGAUAUAAAGAGCAGAAUGUUAAGGUUCCAUCCCAUCACUGUGACUCUAGAGUACGAACAGUUUGUGCUGAUGUUAUGGAGCCUAAA